UCUGCCCACUGAUAAAUAUUGAAGGGCUGCAGUAUAUUGACUGUACAAAGGUAGCAUAAUCAUUAGUCAUUUAAUUGAUGACUUGUAUGAAAGAUUGGAUGAAAUAUAAACUGUCUCUUAAUUAUAAAUAGAAUUUAAUUUUUUUAUUAAAAAGUUAAAAUAAUUUAAAAAGACGAGAAGACCCUAUAGAGUUUUAUAAUUAAAAUAAUUAAUAUUAUUUGUUAAAUUAAGGUUGAAAUUAUUUUAUUUAUUGUAUUGGGGUGAUAAAAAAAUAUAUAUAACUUUUUUUAAAUAAAAACAUUUAUAAGUGGUUAAUUGAUCCAAUAUUAUUGAUUACAAGAAAAAAUUACCUUAGGGAUAACAGCGUAAUUUUUUUUUUUAGUUCAUAUAAUAAAAAGAGUUUGCGACCUCGAUGUUGGAUUAAGAUAAAAUUUAAAUGCAGAAG
rnacentral:rRNA from 1 species